GCUUUUCUGGUUCAGACUUCUUUCCUUAAAGGCAUGUUACCGGGUGCACACACACCUGCUCAUUCUUCUACUUUAUUCCCAAGAGCGCUCCGGAGGUCGGACAAAACCAGAGCAUAGAAUUAUCCCAGGAAUGGUGUCUGCUAUUUGGCAUCCGUUUCCACGGUUGGAGAGCUUCCUGGACAUAUUGCACUGCUCUCCAUUUGAGGAUCCAGUCCUCUGACACUCUUGAUCUCCUGAAUCCUGGCCGAGCCUUCAGCCGCCUCUCCUGCUACAAGGAUCAGCUCUGGUGAGACAGUCCCCAGAAUCAAGAUCCUCCUUAUCAAACUCAGAGCAUGUAGGAGUUGAGCAGUUGCAAAGAGUGGGAAUGCAUGCCUGUCUAUCUCAGGUGAGUAUACCAUCGCUGUCCUCAGACACACCAGAAGAGGGCAU